rnacentral:rRNA from 11 species
AGUACUAGCCUAAAUAACCUAAAGGCACCAGAUCCCAUUUGAUUUUGGAAGCUAAGUGGAGUCAGCCCUUGAUAGUAUUUGGAUGGGACACAAAUUGCUCAAUGCAGCAAGCUAUAUUU